rnacentral:rRNA from 1 species
UACGGGGGGGGCAAGCGUUGUUCGGAAUUACUGGGCGUAAAGGGCGCGUAGGCGGCCUGCUAAGUCACACGUGAAAUCCCUCGGCUCAACCGGGGAACUGCGUGUGAUACUGGCGGGCUUGAAUUCGGGAGAGGGAUGUGGAAUUCCGGGUGUAGCGGUGAAAUGCGUAGAUAUCCGGAGGAACACCAGUGGCGAAGGCGGCUUUCUGGACCGACACUGACGCUGAGGCGCGAAAGCUAGGGGAGCGAACAGAA